rnacentral:rRNA from 1 species
GAUGAACGCUGGCGAUAGGCUUAACACAUGCAAGUCGAGGGGUAACGUGUUGGAAGCUUGCUUCCGAUGACGUCGACCGGCGGAUGGGUGCGUAACGCGUAUGCAACUUGCCUCACAGUGGAGAAUAACCCGGAGAAAUCCGGACUAAUACUCCAUACACUCUUAAGUACGCCUGUACAUGAGAGGAAAGAUUUAUCGCUGUGAGAUAGGCAUGCGUCCUAUUAGGUAGUUGGUGAGGUAACGGCUCACCAAGCCGACGAUAGGUAGGGGUGAUGAGAGGAUGCUCCCCCGCAUUGGGAGUGGGACACGGCCCAAACGGCUACGGGAGGCAGCAGUGAGGAAUAUGGGUGAAUGGAGGGAGAACUGAACCCGCCGAGUCGCGUGAAGGAAGAGUGUCCUAGGGAUUGUAAACUACUUUAGAGAGCGAGUAAGGACUUCCACGUGAUGGGAGUUUGAAAGUAGCUCGAGAAUAAGUAUCGGCUAACUCCGUG